rnacentral:rRNA from 1 species
GUGCCUAAUACAUGCAAGUCGAGCGAACAGACGAGGAGCUUGCUCCUCUGACGUUAGCGGCGGACGGGUGAGUAACACGUGGAUAACCUACCUAUAAGACUGGGAUAACUUCGGGAAACCGGAGCUAAUACCGGAUAAUAUAUUGAACCGCAUGGUUCAAUAGUGAAAGACGGUUUUGCUGUCACUUAUAGAUGGAUCCGCGCCGCAUUAGCUAGUUGGUAAGGUAACGGCUUACCAAGGCAACGAUGCGUAGCCGACCUGAGAGGGUGAUCGGCCACACUGGAACUGAGACACGGUCCAGACUCCUACGGGAGGCAGCAGUAGGGAAUCUUCCGCAAUGGGCGAAAGCCUGACGGAGCAACGCCGCGUGAGUGAUGAAGGUCUUCGGAUCGUAAAACUCUGUUAUUAGGGAAGAACAAAUGUGUAAGUAACUAUGCACGUCUUGACGGUACCUAAUCAGAAAGCCACGGCUAACUACGUGCCAGCAGCCGCGGUAAUACGUAGGUGGCAAGCGUUAUCCGGAAUUAUUGGGCGUAAAGCGCGCGUAGGCGGUUUUUUAAGUCUGAUGUGAAAGCCCACGGCUCAACCGUGGAGGGUCAUUGGAAACUGGAAAACUUGAGUGCAGAAGAGGAAAGUGGAAUUCCAUGUGUAGCGGUGAAAUGCGCAGAGAUAUGGAGGAACACCAGUGGCGAAGGCGACUUUCUGGUCUGUAACUGACGCUGAUGUGCGAAA